CCUACGGGAGGCAGCAGUGAGGAAUAUUGGUCAAUGGACGCAAGUCUGAACCAGCCAUGCCGCGUGCAGGAAGACGGCCCUAUGAGUUGUAAACUGCUUUUGUACGAGGGUAAACGCAGAUACGCGUAUCUGUCUGAAAGUAUCGUACGAAUAAGGAUCGGCUAACUCCGUGCCAGCAGCCGCGGUAAUACGGAGGAUUCAAGCGUUAUCCGGAUUUAUUGGGUUUAAAGGGUGCGUAGGCGGUCGGAUAAGUUAGAGGUGAAAUCCCGAGGCUCAACUGCGGAAUUGCCUCUGAUACUGGCAGGCUAGAGAGUAGUAGCGGUAGGCGGAAUGUAUGGUGUAGCGGUGAAAUGCUUAGAGAUCAUACAGAACACCGAUUGCGAAGGCAGCUUACCAGGCUACUACUGACGCUGAGGCACGAAAGCGUGGGGAGCAAACAGGAUUAGAUACCCCAGUAGUC
rnacentral:rRNA from 1 species